rnacentral:rRNA from 1 species
UACGUAGGGUGCGAGCGUUAAUCGGAAUUACUGGGCGUAAAGCGCGCGUAGGCGGCUUGACAAGUCGAGUGUGAAAUCCCCGGGCUUAACCUGGGAGCUGCAUUCGAAACUGUCUUGCUAGAGUAUGGGAGAGGGAGGUGGAAUUUCAGGUGUAGCGGUGAAAUGCGUAGAUAUCUGAAGGAACAUCAGUGGCGAAGGCGGGGUCUCUGGGGCCGAUACUGACGCUGAGGAGCGAAAGCGUGGGGAGCGAACAGG